rnacentral:lncRNA from 1 species
AAGAGUUGUGGAUGGGGAAGGAUCGUCACGUCCACAACAAUUGACACCCCAAAUGAUGGAAGCAAUGUGACAAUUGGCGUUAACUGAGGUGAGACGCGAGGCGGCAGAAUGUGAGGGGUGAUAAAUGUCCAAGUGGAGGAAAUGAAGAAUAGACAAAUUGAGAUUGAGCAAAUAAUGCGUCAAUUGCUCUCACAACAAGGAAACCAAACAAAUAAUUCAAUAAACGGUGAUGUGAAUGAUGAUGAUGAUGAUGAUGAUGUGGACGAAGCUAUGGAUGAUGAGGAGGAGGAUAAUGUUGAUUGAUUUAUUAUUAUUAUUAUUUUACUUUUAAAUUUAAAUUUUUGUAAAAUCUUUAGAAUUAUUUUGUAUUUAAUCAUUUUUAAUUGAAAUUGAUACUUCUAAUUAUCAUUUUAAA